rnacentral:rRNA from 1 species
AGUGAACGCUGGCGGUAGGCCUAACACAUGCAAGUCGAACGGCAGCACAGUAAGAGCUUGCUCUUACGGGUGGCGAGUGGCGGACGGGUGAGGAAUACAUCGGAAUCUACUUUUUCGUGGGGGAUAACGUAGGGAAACUUACGCUAAUACCGCAUACGACCUACGGGUGAAAGCAGGGGAUCUUCUGACCUUGCGCGAUUGAAUGAGCCGAUGUCGGAUUAGCUAGUUGGCGGGGUAAAGGCCCACCAAGGCGACGAUCCGUAGCUGGUCUGAGAGGAUGAUCAGCCACACUGGAACUGAGACACGGUCCAGACUCCUACGGGAGGCAGCAGUGGGGAAUAUUGGACAAAGGGCGCAAGCCUGAUCCAGCCAUACCGCGUGGGUGAAGAAGGCCUUCGGGUUGUAAAGCCCUUUUGUUGGGAAAGAAAAGCAGCAGGUUAAUACCCCGCUGUUCUGACGGUACCCAAAGAAUAAGCACCGGCUAACUUCGUG